AACAUUCAUUGCUGUCGGUGGGUUGAGUUAAGAACACAAGCUCGCUGAACGAUGAAUGCAA
rnacentral:pre_miRNA from 2 species